UGUUGUUAUUAUCUGUCAUCACAUUAACUCUCCAUUUUCUUUUCACUCCAGAAAUGAAAUUCUCAGCCAAAUAAUCAGCAGUUGACUUGUACAGUUUACACUUUACUCAGCAAUUGUUAGGAGCUCGUGGUCGUCGGUGAAAGAUUUAUCGUUUCCUUUGUCGACUCGGACAAUCCUUGGCCUAGUCAGUUUUAGGGUUAUGGGAGAUUAUUUUUUAGUGUCUACAGCAGAUUUUAUUUUUUGUUGUUGACUAAUUCGGUUGUAUAAGAUUCUAGUUUGGCAGCCAUUGAUUGCUUUUUCCUGUCAUGGGGGUCUCUAGAAUGCUGGCGGCAAUCAACAAAAAUGUUUUUAUUGAUUUCUUUUAACCUAUUGGUCAACCUAUUGGCUGAACUGUGCUAAACAUUUGUUGGAUUGAAAUGAAAACCACUGGAUGGCAUCUGUGCUGGUGUGCAGCAUAACACAGUGUACUUAGUGGUGAAGUCGGAGGUCUUAGACUUGAAUUGACUAUUAAUAAUCAAAAUCGACCGUUUUCCCUGCUGAAAAUGCCUCGUUAGCUUCAAUCUAGAUCCACUCUUCCGGAAAUCGGAAUACAUAUCAACCUUACCUUCACAUGAAGUCUGGUAAACAUUUUCGACUAACAAAUUCGGCCUUGUCGCAUCCCUUGUGGUUCCAGAUAUUCAGUUUCGGACGGAAGAAAUCCUUGCUCAUCUGGUAAACAUACGAGUUCGUAGGUUUAAUUUCAGUACAAGGUUCCCUGCUGUGGAUGUUCCGGUUGUGCUAUAAUAUUGUGGCUAACUUGGUGGGCCCGCUCUACAUCAUUGAAGAUUUGGGAUCAUCUCCGCGGUGGAAUUAUUAACAAGAAUUCAUUAG